rnacentral:tRNA from 1 species
GCCCAGGUGGUGGAAUUGGCAGACACGCUAUCUUGAGGGGGUAGUGACGAAAGUCGUGCGGGUUCGAGUCCCGCCCUGGGCACCA